rnacentral:rRNA from 1 species
AGUGCCAGCAGCCGCGGUAAUACGGGAGUGGCAAGCGUUAUCCGGAAUUAUUGGGCGUAAAGCGUCCGCAGGCGGCCCUUCAAGUCUGCUGUUAAAACGUGGAGCUUAACUCCAUCAUGGCAGUGGAAACUGUUGGGCUUGAGUGUGGUAGGGGCAGAGGGAAUUCCCGGUGUAGCGGUGAAAUGCGUAGAUAUCGGGAAGAACACCAGUGGCGAAGGCGCUCUGCUGGGCCAUCACUGACGCUCAUGGACGAAAGCCAGGGGAGCGAAAGGGAUUAGAUACCCCUGUAGUCCUGGCCGUAAACGAUGAACACUAGGUGUCGGGGGAAUCGACCCCCUCGGUGUCGUAGCCAACGCGUUAAGUGUUCCGCCUGGGGAGUACGCACGCAAGUGUGAAACUCAAAGGAAUUGACGGGGGCCCGCACAAGCGGUGGAGUAUGUGGUUUAAUUCGAUGCAACGCGAAGAACCUUACCAGGGUUUGACAUCCUGCGAAUCUCUUGAAAACGAGAGAGUGCCUUCGGGAACGCAGUGACAGGUGGUGCAUGUCUGUCGUCAGCUCGUGUCGUGGGAUGUUGGGUUAAGUCCCGCAACGAGCGCAACCCACGUCUUUAGUUGCCAGCAUUCAGUUGGCACUCUAGAGAGACCGCCGGUGAUAAACCGGAGGAAGGUGUGAAUGACGUCAAGUCAUCAUCUCCCUUACGACCAGGGCUACACACGUGCUACAAUGGUCGGUACAAAGGGUUGCUACCUAGCGAUAGGAU